rnacentral:rRNA from 1 species
CCUACGGGAGGCAGCAGUGGGGAAUAUUGGACAAUGGGCGAAAGCCUGAUCCAGCCAUGCCGCGUGUGUGAAGAAGGUCUUCGGAUCGUAAAGCACUUUAAGUUGGGAGGAAGGGCAGUUACCUAAUACGUGAUUGUUUUGACGUUACCGACAGAAUAAGCACCGGCUAACUCUGUGCCAGCAGCCGCGGUAAU